GCAGUAGUCGUUGAGUGGUACAAUGCUCGCCUUGCAUGUGGGAGACCUUGGUUUGAUUCCCAGCCAAUGCG
rnacentral:tRNA from 1 species